CGUAUUUGAUACCCAGUGUUUCAAAUGUUUGGCAUAGGCACCAAAAGCAUCUUCUAGAUCCAAUCAGAGAAAGGAACAUUAACGUUGGAGGAGAUGGAAGAUGCGAUUAGACUGGAUAUUGUGCCAAGUAUGGGUCAUAUAACUGCAUGGAUUUGGAAUCUAACAACAUUUUAGACACACAACUUGUUCAGUCCAAUGAAGUUUCCAACUCUGGAGCAAUGGAACUUGAGGGAUUAAAGAGAUGUCUGGCAAAGUUUGAUGAAAGUGGGAUGAAGGUGAAGUCAAUGACCACAGACAGACAUGCUCAAAUCAAAUCCUACAUGUCAAAACAAAGACCAAAAAUCGAGCACUACUUUGAUGUAUGGCAUGUAG